rnacentral:rRNA from 1 species
UGAAUACGAGACGCUACGGCGUCGAAGCAGUCUAUGUCAUACUUCCAAGAAAAGCUUGCACUGUCAUAAACAAAUAAUGCCUGUACCAUAACCGACACAGGUGGGUAGGUAGAGUAUACUAAGGGGCGCGAGAUAACUCUCUCUAAGGAACUCGGCAAAAUGACUCCGUAACUUCGGGAGAAGGAGUGCCUUAUUUAUUAAGGUUGCAAUAACAAGAUCCAAGCAACUGUUUACCAAAAACACAGGUCUCCGCUAAGUCGUAAGACGAUGUAUGGGGGCUGACGCCUGCCCAGUGCCAGAAGGUUAAAGAAGUUGGUUAGCAUUGCGAAGCUGAUGACUGAAGCCCUGGUGAACGGCGGCCGUAACGAUAACGGUCCUAAGGUAGCGAAAUUCCUUGUCGGGUAAGUUCCGACCCGCACGAAAGGCGUAAUGAUUUGGAUACUGUCUCGGAGAGGGGCUCGGUGAAAUAGACUUGUCUGUGAAGAUGCGGACUACCUGCACCUGGACAGAAAGACCCUAUGAAGCUUUACUGUAACUUGAGAUUGAAAUUGGACUUUAUUUGCGCAGUAUAGGUGGGAGACGUUGAGAAUAUUCUUGCGGGAAUAUUGGAGUCAUCAGUGAGAUACCACUCUUGUAAUGUUAGAUUUCUAACUUUGUAUCAUUAUCUGGUCAAAGAACAGUUUCAGGCGGGCAGUUUGACUGGGGCGGUCGCCUCCCAAACGGUAACGGAGGCGCACAAAGGUUUCCUCUGAACGUGUAGAAAUCGUAUCUAGAGUGUAAAGGCAUAAGGAAGCUUGACUGUGAGACCUACAAGUCGAGCAGGGACGAAAGUCGGUCUUAGUGAUCUGACGGUGCUGAGUGGAAAGGCCGUCACUCAACGGAUAAAAGUUACUCUAAGGAUAACAGGCUGAUCUCCCCCAAGAGUUCACAUCGACGGGGAGGUUUGGCACCUCGAUGUCGGCUCAUCGCAUCCUGGGGCGGUAGUACGUCCCAAGGGUUGGGCUGUUCGCCCAUGAAAGCGGUACGCGAGCUGGGUUCAGAACGUCGUGAGACAGUUCGGUCCAUAUCCGGUGUAGGCGUUAGAAUAUUGAGAGGAGCCUUCUUUAGUACGAGAGGACCGAGAAGGACAUACCUCUGGUGUACCAGUUAUCGUGCCAACGGUAAACGCUGGGUAGCUAUGUAUGGAGAGGAUAACCGCUGAAAGCAUCUAAGUGGGAAGCCCACCUCAAGAUAAG